rfam:Callithrix jacchus chromosome 10, whole genome shotgun sequence
GUACUCUCUUCUGCAGUGCAUAUACAAAAUUUGGAACAUACAGAGAUUAGCAUGGCCCCUGUGCAAGGAUGAUCGGAUGGUUUGGAUGUUUUGUCCCUUCCA